UGGCCCAUGGGGGAUCGAACCCACUACCUUCGCGUUAUUAGUACGAGACCCUAAUCAACUGAGCUAAUGGGCC